rnacentral:rRNA from 1 species
UCCCCAGACUCCUACGGGAGGCAGCAGUGGGGAAUAUUGCACAAUGGGGGAAACCCUGAUGCAGCGACGCCGCGUGAGUGAAGAAGUAUUUCGGUAUGUAAAGCUCUAUCAGCAGGGAAGAAAAUGACGGUACCUGACCAAGAAGCCCCGGCUAACUACGUGCCAGCAGCCGCGGUAAUACGUAGGGGGCAAGCGUUAUCCGGAAUUACUGGGUGUAAAGGGAGCGUAGACGGUGAUGCAAGUCUGGAGUGAAAGCCCAAGGCUCAACCAUGGGACUGCUUUGGAAACUGUUAAGCUAGAGUGCUGGAGAGGUAAGCGGAAUUCCUAGUGUAGCGGUGAAAUGCG